AUACCAACCCGUGCUGACCCAUUUGAAAUAUAACACCGACCCAUUGUGACCCAUUUCAUUAGAAAGGGUUGUCUCCAUCAACCCACACUGGCCCGUUUCAAUUUAUGCCACCUUCUAAAUAGUUUUAUUCAAUAAUAUAUAUUUAUUUUUGUAAUGAUAUACUCUGUGGCCCCACCCGACCAGACCUGACUAACUUUAGUAAAUUUUUGUGAAGAUUGUACCAAAGUUUUGAUUUCUUGGAAGCUUUUGAUUAAUAACCAAGAUGCAAUUUGAGUUUUGUAUCGGUGAGUUCGUCACCUGGAAGUGGAGACACAACAGUCAUCGAGGCAAGCGGCGUCCGAGGUGUCGAGCUAGACCUUAGGCAAGAGAUCAAAGAGGCAUUUGAGUUGUUUGAUACUGAUGGGUCUGGUACCAUUGAUGCCAAGGAGUUGAAUGUUGCUAUCAG